rnacentral:tRNA from 1 species
GCGCGCUUAGCUCAGUGGUAGAGCAUUACCUUCACACGGUAGGGGUCGUAGGUUCGAAACCUACAGUGCGCACCA